GAUGAACGCUGGCGGCGUGCCUAAUACAUGCCAGUCGAGCGAACGGACGAGAAGCUUGCUUCUCUGAUGUUAGCGGCGGACGGGUGAGUAACACGUGGAUAACCUACCUAUAAGACUGGGAUAACUUCGGGAAACCGUAGCUAAUACCGGAUAAUAUUUUGAACCGCAUGGUUCAAAAGUGAAAGACGGUCUUGCUGUCACUUAUAGAUGGAUCCGCGCUGCAUUAGCUAGUUGGUAAGGUAACGGCUUACCAAGGCAACGAUGCAUAGCCGACCUGAGAGGGUGAUCGGCCACACUGGAACUGAGACACGGUCCAGACUCCUACGGGAGGCAGCAGUAGGGAAUCUGCCGCAAUGGGCGAAAGCCUGACGGAGCAACGCCGCGUGAGUGAUGAAGGUCUUCGGAUCGUAAAACUCUGUUAUUAGGGAAGAACAUAUGUGUAAGUAACUGUGCACAUCUUGACGGUACCUAAUCAGAAAGCCACGGCUAACUACGUG
rnacentral:rRNA from 1 species